ensembl:snRNA U6 U6 spliceosomal RNA
GAGCUCGCUUUGGCAGCACCUAUACUAACACUGGAACGGUACAGAGAAGAUUAGCAUGGCCCCUGUGUAAGGAUGACACGUAAAUUCACAAAGUGGUCCAUAUUUUU